rnacentral:rRNA from 1 species
GUGGGGAAUCUUCCGCAAUGGACGAAAGUCUGACGGAGCAACGCCGCGUGAGUGAUGAAGGUCUUCGGAUUGUAAAGCUCUGUUAAUCGGGACGAAAGAGCCUAGUGUGAAUAAUGCUAGGAAGUGACGGUACCGGAAUAGAAAGCCACGGCUAACUACGUGCCAGCAGCCGCGGUAAUACGUAGGUGGCAAGCGUUGUCCGGAAUUAUUGGGCGUAAAGCGCGCGCAGGCGGAUCUGCCAGUCUGUCUUAAAAGUUCGGGGCUUAACCCCGUGAUGGGAUGGAAACUACAGAUCUAGAGUAUCGGAGAGGAAAGUUGAAUUCCUAGUGUAGCGGUGAAAUGCGUAGAUAUUAGGAAGAACACCAGUGGCGAAGGCGACUUUCUGGACGAAAACUGACGCUGAGGCGCGAAAGCCAGGGGAGCGAACGGGAUUAGAAACCCUAGUAGUCC